UGUCAAACUGCUGGUAUAGAGUGUUUGUACAGUCAAAACGUGAGAGGUCCUUAGACCAGAGGGAAAAGGAGCUCAAAAGAAAAAGGAAAGAGACAGCUGAAAAGGAAAAUUCACCAGCAUCAGUGACCGAUGGAUCGAUGAAGCCCAGCAUGGACAACUUUUCUGACAAUGCUGUAGUCAGAGCUACAAGGACACCUCCUCCAGAACCGCCAAAGAACCAGGAAUCUGCUUUGAGACCCUUAACAA